UCAGUGCUCUGGGAGUGUUUAUAGUGCUGUGACUUUAACACUACAGCAACUUCACCCACAGCUACCAUGACUUUGAUCCCCGUCUUCAUCUGGACACUGAUCCUCUGGACUCAAGAAUGCAGAGGUCAAGUCACAGUAACUCAGACUCCUGCAGUGAAAUCUGUUCUUCCAGGAGAAACAGUCACCAUCAACUGUAAAACCAGUCCGGCAGUGUAUUAUCACGGCUCAUAUGGUCACUACUUACACUGGUAUCAGCAGAAACCUAGAGAAGCUCCUAAACUGCUGAUUAAGCUCGCAAAUCGGAGACAGUCAGAUUUUCCAGCUCGUUUCAGUGGCAGUGGAUCUGGAUCUGAUUUCACUCUGACCAUCAGUGGAGUCCAGACUGAAGAUGCAGGAGAUUACUACUGUCAGAGUCACCACAGUGGUGGUGUGUUCACACAGUGUUAUAGAGUCGUACAAAAACCUCCCUCAGUCAGAUUGUAGAGAGACUGAACUGCUGCAGCUGGGAGCGACUGCAGGUGCUGAGUUGGAGGAUGUGAUACGACACAAUGACACUCUGUGGAGGAGAAGAACCACAUCACACUGAAUCACAACUCACAUUAGAGAUCUUUCAAUAAUUUUCACACCACAGUGAACACAGUCCAUCACAUCUAUUCUAACAUUUGUAGUUAUAUAAAUUUAUUGUGGUCCUACUCAAUAUCUUCAGUGGAUAAUUUGUCAUUUUUGUUUUAUUUGUCAGUCUCUGUCACUAAUCCUGCCCCCAAGAAAGUAUCUGAUUCUGAUCAACAUCCUGUGAAGAUGAUUCUCCAUAUCAACAUGUUUGGCUCUCUAUGGAGAAUUCUUGAGUUACACCAUCUCACCUCACCAUCUCCUCAUAUUGUAUAAAGACUCUUCUCUUUCCUG